UCCUCUUAACCUCUCUGCCAUCGCUCUUUUGGCGGUUUAAAAGGAUUGCAUUUGUAUUUUUUUUCUUUUCGGUUUGGAACCUCUGAACGCAACGCUCGCGUCUCUCCCCAAUACUCUAAUCGAGCUGAACUCGGAUCUUCAGCUUCCUUGCUGGAUUGAGCUUAGGAGUAAAUGGAUCAAGAAGUGCAUUUCUGCCAGAAGUUCACAAAUAUGAAUUAUCAUUGGGUAAAAAUGGAGGGAUCUUUUCUUCCUGCACCAUUAAAUGAAUCAAAUGAAGUCGAUCAUUUUCUUGUGGAGCCUAAAAGCGACCAUGAAUUAGGAAAUUGCUUGAGAGUUCAAGAUUUCUCUCGUGACUUUGGCUACGAAAUACAAACAAAUGGUGAUGCCGAAGUUGAUGAAAAUUCUUUCAGACAGAAUAGGGGAUUACAAUUGGGAAAGCCAAGUUCAGAGAGUAAAUCUCAGGGAUCAAGCAGGAGUGAUACUGAUGCUUUUGAAAUAUCAGAAUUGUCAGCAACAAUGGUAAUGGAGGCUGAAUUCAACAAUACACCUGUUGAGAGGAGUUUGACUCGUGAGUUGUUCUCUGGUCUGAGGACCAGAGGUGGGUGUGCAACACCAUUUGAAGGCAACAUCUGUGAUACAAUACUUGAUAAUAAUAAUAUCCAUAAGUUCAAUACUAAUGAAAACUAUCUUCAAAAUGAGAAAAUAUCUGAUGAAAAUGUGAAGGGUGAUAUUGUGGCAAGCAAACUUGCCAGUUGCUCAAGAGAGAGGAGAUUGCGCAAGCCUACUCGAAGAUACAUAGAAGAAUUUGCAGAUUCAAAGUCUGAAAAUAACAAGGGAAGGAGAAAAUCUCCUACAAAAGAUAAAUACCUGAAAGUGACUUCUACUGUGGAAUCUAAUCACAUUAGACAUAAGGUACAAAUGUUGGCCCCUAAAGAUGAAUCGCAUUGUGGUACGUCUGUUCCAGUGCAGUCUCGAUCUCAGAGAAGACAUCCAGAGAAGCAUGUACCAGUUUCAGUACGAGAGUUUUCUCUCUUGAUAUCUGUUCAUCCUGCCAAUAUAAUUAUCAUUGAAAUUUCUCUGUUUUAUCUGCCUUCCAUAUAUUAUUUGUUUUUUUUUUUUUUUUUUUUUUUUUGUUUUCUUUUUUGUGGUUCAUUUGGUUUGGCCCAAAGUCUUUCUAGAUUUAAAGUUGAAGCCACUUUAUUGAAGUCAUUCAUGAUGCCAUAUCUUUUUUUUUUUUUUUUUUUUUUUUUUUUUUUUUUNUUUUUUUUUUUUUUUUUUUUUUUGAAACACAUUCAACUUUGUACACCCGUGUGAGUUGUAAAUAGACAGUAUAGGCACAUCUUGUUGUAUAUGUAUAGGCACAUCUUUGAUUGUUUCCUUUUGGUAAUAAUUCAGAUGAUUAUAAUAUUCAUCACUCAGAAUAUAAAUCUUGAAUUGCAAAAUGUUGGUACUAUAACUUUUGAUUGAUUUCUAAAUAGUUUGACCUCAAAUAUGUGGUGCAUCAAGAAAUGAUUGAACUCAUCUCAUCAUAGGAAUUAAAAGCUUUUAAGACUCGUGGUAAAUUUAAGAUGACUCAACUGCCUUUGACCGUGGACUUUCUUUUGUUUAUAUCUGGGGCCAUUGCAGACCUGAUACACUGGUGCUGGUGAAAUACAUUAUUCUGAUGUGCAGUUUUUACUGUCUGGUCUUCUGCCACUCCUUCCCGCUCACCCUUAUUUCUUCUCUGGAUUUCUGUCUGAAGACGAACCUUCUGCAACUGAGUGUAAAAAUGUUUAUUCAUCUGCCAAAAUAUGUAAAAAGUAUGAUAGGAGGAAGCACCAGAAGAUGUGGACCCUUACUGAAGUGAUGCGAUUGGUUGAUGGAAUUGCUGAAUAUGGAACUGGCCGCUGGACUCGUAUAAAGAGGCACCUAUUUGCGUCUUCUCCUCAUCGUACGCCCAUAGAUCUCAGGGACAAAUGGCGGAAUCUUUUGAAAGCUAGCUGUGUUAACAUACAGAACAGUAAAGGG